AAACUACCCCCUCCGUCCAGAAAUACCUGUCAUCAAAAUGGAUAAAAGGAGAUGUAUCUAGACGUAUUUUAGUUCUAGAUACGUCCAUUUUUAUCCAUUUUGAUGACAAGUAUUUACGGACAGAGGGAGUAGUUU
rnacentral:pre_miRNA from 1 species